UCACCCAGCAAUCAGUCGUCCUCCAGUGACCCGGGACCUGGCGGGAGUGGACCGUGGAGACCGCAAGUGGCCUAUGACGGGUGCCAGUCUCCCCUGCUGCUGGAGCACCAGAGCUCAGGCCCCGUGGAGUGCGACGGAGCCCAUGAGCGGGAGGACACGGUGGAAGGAAGCCGACACCCGGAAACCAAAUGGCAUGGCCCACCUUCCAAAGUCCUGAGUUCCUAUAAAGAAAGAGCCCUGCAGAAAGAUGGA